UAGGUGACUUUAUUGUAAUUCUCUAUUCACCUAAAGGAUAAUAGUCAUUUAUCUUCGAGUAAUAAAAUCAUAACUCGUUAACUUAUCUUUGAAGUUCAAUAUCAUGCUUAUAUUCUCUGGUGGUUCAUAAAUGCUCUCAAGUUUGUUAAUUCUUUUCAAACUCCUAAAAUAAGGGUAGAAUCAUUAGAAAGUCGCUUCCG
rnacentral:lncRNA from 1 species